rnacentral:rRNA from 1 species
UACAGAGGUCUCAAGCGUUGUUCGGAUUCAUUGGGCGUAAAGGGUGCGUAGGCGGCGCGGUAAGUCGGGUGUGAAAUCUUGGAGCUUAACUCCGAAACUGCAUUCGAUACUGCCGUGCUUGAGGACUGGAGAGGAGACUGGAAUUUACGGUGUAGCGGUGAAAUGCGUAGAUAUCGUAAGGAAGACCAGUGGCGAAGGCGACAUCCUGGACCGGUAUUGACGCUGAGUGAGCGAAAGCCAGGGGAGCAAACGGG